UGUAACAGCAACUCCAUGUGGACUGUGCGUCAAUUUCCAGUGGAGAUGCUGUUACUUUUGAUGGCUGCCAA
ensembl:miRNA MIR194 microRNA mir-194